GAUGAACGCUAGCGGCAGGCUUAAUACAUGCAAGUCGAGGGGCAGCAUGACUGUAGCAAUACAGUUGAUGGCGACCGGCAAACGGGUGCGGAACACGUACAGAACCUUCCUUCGAGCGGGGAAUAGCCCAGAGAAAUUUGGAUUAAUACCCCAUAGUACAACGGAGUGGCAUCACUUUGUUGUUAAAGAUUUAUCACUUGAAGAUGGCUGUGCGGCUGAUUAGGUAGUUGGCGGGGUAACGGCCCACCAAGCCUGCGAUCAGUAACUGGUGUGAGAGCACGACCAGUCACACGGGCACUGAGACACGGGCCCGACUCCGUACGGGAGGCAGCAGUAAGGAAUAUUGGUCAAUGGACGAAAGUCUGAACCAGCCAUGCCGCGUGGAGGAUGAAGGUCCUCUGGAUUGUAAACUUCUUUUAUAUGGGACGAAAAAAGGGUUUUCUAACUCGUCUGACGGUACCAUAUGAAUAAGCACCGGCUAACUCCGUG
rnacentral:rRNA from 1 species